rnacentral:lncRNA from 1 species
GAGCCGCCUCCGGUCAGUGCGGACUUCCUUUUGCAGGUGCACGCUUCCCGACGAUCGGGCGACGAGGUGAUUGGCCGCAACAAAUUUCAAGGACAAAAAGGAGAGCAAACAAUUUGUACUGUGAUUCGCGUCGUUUUUCUAAAGAACAGAAUUCUAAUUAUUUGAACGGUGGAAAGGUAAAAUAAUAUUGUUAUUCCUUUAUUGGUGUUCUAUUGUAGUUCUCUGUAUCGUCUUUCUGUUUUCUGUUCCUUGACCUUUCUGUCAGUUGAAAUUCGCUUCAAACCUACAGUCCUUUUUACUCUUGUGAUUUUCUAAUGCUUAAAUAAAUUUGAUGAUUUUUGCUGCCUCCAUUACCAUCGAAAAAAAAAAGAGAUUGUGGCAGCCCCUGUUUGGAGCCAUGAGUCAGGAAGUUUUAACAACUUGUUUGACAUGGAUCAAAUGUCAUUUCACACAAAUUCACAAAGAUGCGAUUUAAACUUUACACCACAUGGAAAUUUUUUUCUUUUUUGUUGGUGUUGGGUAUACCAACUGACCUCCAUACACCGACUUACUCUCGGACCGAUCUGACCGACGACCGACGGAUGACUCCGAUCGACGCCUGACUCUACCGACCGCAC